UCUCCCCCUCUUUCCACGGCCCGCACAUAGUCAUCUCCCUCAUCAAGCCAGGAGUCCCACUAUUCCCAUCGUCGUAGCCCUGGAGCCCCAUUGGUGCCGCCGCCCUGGAGCCCCAUUGCUGCCGCCGCCCUGGAGUCCCACUGCCCACAUGCCAGAUCGGGAACUCCCAGCACGCCACCAUCACGAUUCCUUCCUCGGAGCACCCUACUGGCCGCCGAAGGCCCUGCGAAGGACAACUGGUGGCCGGAGCUCCCGUGACGCCUCGAAAUCUGACCGUCGAACGGUCUUCCCCGCGCGACGCCCUGACGAGGUGCACAACUCCCGCCCUCUGCCGCUCUUCCCAGGAGUGGAGCGAAUGUGAGGAGGAGGAUCCCUGCGACCAACUAGACGCUCGCUGCCGCGAUGUCUUGACAAGAAAGGUAAUCUUGACCCCUUUAGAAUGUCAACUGGAUCAAAAAAAAUAUGGUGGGAAUGUAAACAUGAAAAUCCAUACGCCGUGUUCAGUUGUUAUUUCCGCUCUGCUUUGUCAAUUUGGUAAUUGCACAACUAUUUGUUAAUAAUUCCAGUACAAUAUGUUUAGCGCAAGUACCUAUAUGCAAUAUGCAAUGAGGUUUUUUUUUCCUUUGUUGAGCGAUGGUAAAUGGUUUAAGAUGUUAGAUUGGAUGGUGUUGAGCGUGCUUUGAUACUCCUGGACAAUCAGUGUCAUCCCAACAUUUUUCACUUCAGAUAUCCGCAUCAGUUCCAUGAGAACUAGAAAUACGAUGAAUACAUCCAAUGGCACUAUUUUGUGUGUGUAAAUUCAUUUAGGUCUGAUGUGAAUCAAAUGCUACGAGGAGUUAAAUAGAUGCAUGUAAAAAGUGAAGAAGAGUUGCAACAUUGGGUACUCCAAGAAAUGUCCUUAUGAAUUGGCUAUGGCGACAAUGACUCAAGGGAUGGACAUGGAUAUCAUGCCAAGUUGGAACUGUGGCCUGGUAUUUCUUAGAGAGGUACUCACUAAAUUGCUUGAUUGAAGAUUGAAUUUAUUUCAUUGUACUCCACUAUAGUUUUUUACCCUUUGCAUAAUUGCAUUUAUUUUAAAUACUCGCAAAGAUAUAAUUUUUAGGUUGCCGCAUAUAGUAUCGGAUCUCAUGUCCAUCAUUUCCAUAUAUAAAUAGAGUUCUUAUGUAAAUGAAUCAAAAUCUUCGCAUUGAGCCGGCUCUUGUCUUUGCUGACACUUGCUCACAAGCGGUGGGAAGAACGGCACUUCAUCAGUAUGGAUGACGGCGGUCACAGCUACGGCAUCACCAUCGGACGAGGGAAGCAGGAAGCCAGAAGUUGCCGCCUGCCAGUAUUAAUUCCGUGGACGUUGCAGCUUCGUGCCAUGCUCCUUUCUGGUAGACUGAAAAUUUCCCGAAGCUGGUUGGGGCAGUUUUUUCAGUGUUGCAUGACUCCACGAUGAAGAGAAAGUGAAGAUAACCAGCAUUGAUAAAAAUGUCAUAUUUUCUACCAUGAAGUUUUCCAUCACAUCAGAUGUAAGGAUAUGGCAUCUGCGGUCUGGGACAUGAUUAUGGUGCUUGAAGACCGAUAUCUGGAUAGAGAAUUAUCAGGAGGACAUAGAAGAUUAUCAGCAAAUUGUGCCCACGCGUGCUGGAUUUUCCAGAAAAUUGUGUUUUGGACCAAAAGAUAGUACUAAGCAGAGUUGGAACAAUUCAAGUAGACACUUCGGAGUUUGGGAACCAUAGUGAUCUCGGUGCAAAAAGGACGGAUGGUGUAUGUUGUUCACAUCACCAAGCUCCAGAAAAUAUAUUUGCAUGACUUUCCUCUCCGGACGGUUUCUUGGGCCGGAGCACGCAGAUAGAGGUGAGCCAGAGCAGCCUGCAGCUAGAGGCUAGAGAGAGCUUCCCAAGUCGUAGCGCACUUCAGCUAGAGGCCGGCGAGGGCCUCUAGAGCCAGAGCACACUGAAGCUAGAGAUCGGCGAAGAAAUGUCCCUUGGCCGUGGCGCUGAUUGGCAUCAGGGAUGCGCACAUUCUAUCCCCAUCCUGCCGGACCAUUGCAAGGUUGCAGGGCCAUUACUAAGCUUCCUCAUCUGUUCUUAAUUAUGGUCGAACUUCUGGGUAAAUUACGUUCCAUGCAAGUUUCAGUUUCGGAGCUCAGCUUGAGCAACUCUUGAUUUCUUAGGCUGCUUGCUUGAUGCUUGAUUGAUCAACUGGAACAAAGGUAUGCAAAGCUUGCAUAUACAAAAAUAAAAUUUGGAACUUGGAUGCUGGCAAUGCUGAAGCCAAUGAUUGGUGUACCACGUCGUGAACUGUCUCCGGUGUCCUCAUUGACAUUGGACAAGAUGUUGUUGGUUGGCAGCUUGGCUCUUAUAUAGAAAGAUGGAAUCACCACUCACCGCUGCCAUUGUGUCAAAAAUUCAUCUCAUUCGCUUGCUACUCUUGGCGUUUUAUUACUGGUCA